UACGUAGGCAGCAAGCGUUGUUCGGAGUUACUGGGCGUAAAGGGUGCGUAGGCGGGUUUUUAAGUCAGAGGUGAAAUCCUGGAGCUCAACUCCAGAACUGCCUUUGAUACUGAAAGUCUUGAGUAUGGGGAGAGGUGAGUGGAACUGCGAGUGUAGAGGUGAAAUUCGUAGAUAUUGGGGAAGAACACCGGUGGCGAAGGCGGCUCACUGGCUCGUAACUGACGCUCAGGCGCGACAGCGUGGGGAUCAAACAGG
rnacentral:rRNA from 1 species